rnacentral:snRNA from 1 species
AGAUAUGAGGACAAGCUGACAGAGCAUCUGUCAAUCCAUUGCUAGCCAGGUUUGAUUUGGCAGAUCUGGCUGGCUAGGCUAGUGUCCCCUUCUUCCCUCACUGCUUGGUGAACAUCCCUUUUGGAGCUCCAUACUCAACUGGAGAGAAUGUCCUUGCAGUGGAGGACAACCAUUCUGCAGUCAAGGCUAUAGGGGUAGCUACCAUUUCUGCUUGGACCUCCAAAUAGGCUCACAAGAUUUUGAAGGCUAAAUUUGCUUAGUAAAAGAAACUUCUUUCAAAAACAGACAUUUUGUAAGAUCUCUCU